CGGUGCUGUGGUGUCGUUGUUGCGGCGUUGUCCCGUUGGUGCUCCUCGUUCAACGUGCGCGCGUACGUUUUUCCGCGGUUUUUCGUUCAUUUUUAUUUUCCGUCAUUUCAAUCAUCCUCUCAGAUUCGGCAAACGAAUAAUGAUGUCGUAAUAUAACAAUAUAUGCAUUAUACAAACGGCAUUAUAUUCCCUCGAACUGCACUUUCAGCCGAUCAGCCGGUUCGCAAUAAAACGUAUUUAAAUAUUUCUCGCUUUUGGACGAGUGUACGCUGUCGCAGCCGAAGUGUUUUGGUUCUCGUUAUCAUAUUUGUGUCGUUGUCACGGGUUCUGCGCGUCCUCCACGUGGCGGCCGUUUAAGGACGUACAGGUGUUUAUUCAACUGCUCAAAGUGGAAUCAACCACAUACAAAAAAUAACUACGUAACAAUCGAUCAAACAUCAUGAAUCGGAGACGGAAAGUGACGGCUGGUGAAUUAUGAAUUGACUCCAGACUGUUGUGCCAACGAUGAAAGAUGGAGUCGUUAUGGAUCCCGUCGUUCUGGAAGAAGCUCAGCAGCUACUGUCACCGGCUUCUUGGACCAGAGGGGAUAUUUGUCCUAAGAAUACCAGGAAACGUUACAAUGUCACCAUACUGGAAUUGAACCCGGUCGUGAGUCGCGAUGACAUCGUCGUGGACCACUGCCGGAGGAGAGAGAGCAGUACUAGUA